rnacentral:lncRNA from 1 species
AUCCUUGCCCCAAACAAGAAUAGGCUGGUUCAUCAGGGAAGUUGGGAGGCUGAGCAGCUGUGGAGACAGCUGGUGCUUGGAAGCCCUUUCAGCAGUGUCUGGUGCUGGUUUUGCUGAGUAGUGAUUUUCAGGAGGCAACACCUAUAACUUUUCAGCCCCACAAAAUCAUCAGAACAACAUUUAGCUGCUGUUGGCCGGAGUGGGGCUCUGGACGCCAUUUUGUCAGCACAGCAAGUUUCUACCAGCCUGCUUCCGACGACUCAGCAUUCCCGAGGCUCACUCCAUCCCCCCUACCUGUGCUUUAAAAACCUGCCUUUUAAAAUAUCUCCCCAAGAAGUAGCAAGUGCCUCUUUUGACCGAGUCUGCUGACAUGGUUUUUAAUUUGGGAAAGAGGGCGAGUAGCUGUGUGGAAGCAUCACUCUCUGGGAUGUCAGAGUCUCCUUGGAAGAGCCCUAAUUAAGGACUCAGAAUGAUUGACAGGUGGUGGAAGCCCACGGAAAGCACAACUGACAUGCAGCAGAAGUCAAUGUCUCUCAGUUGCGAAAAAAGUUGGCAAUCGGAGACCUUGAAAAGCCUUUGCAGGUGGCUCGAAGUGGGCACCCGUUACAUGCCACCCGAAGAGCCUGAACUAAGACUCUGGAAGGUCCCUCUUGACCCCACGUCCUAUGACUCAGAGGGCUGUGACUCGGCCAUGACAUUGAUACCGCAGGAAACAGCAUCUGCCUUCCGCUCCUGAAGAGAAGCUUCCA